UACGUAGGGUGCAAGCGUUAAUCGGAAUUACUGGGCGUAAAGCGUACGCAGGCGGCUGGGUAAGACAGGUGUGAAAUCCCCGGACUUAACCUAGGAACUGCAUUUAUGACUGCCCAACUAGAGUCCGUUAGAGGAAGGUGGAAUUCCACGUGUAGCAGUGAAAUACGUAGAGAUAUGGAGGAACACCGAUGACGAAAACAGCCCCCUGGGACAGGACUGACGCUCAUGUACGAAAGCGUGGAGAGCAAACAAG
rnacentral:rRNA from 1 species